GAUGAACGCUGGCGGCGUGCCUAAUACAUGCAAGUCGAGCGAACAGACGAGGAGCUUGCUCCUCUGACGUUAGCGGCGGACGGGUGAGUAACACGUGGAUAACCUACCUAUAAGACUGGGAUAACUUCGGGAAACCGGAGCUAAUACCGGAUAAUAUAUUGAACCGCAUGGUUCAAUAGUGAAAGACGGUUUUGUUGUCACUUAUAGAUGGAUCCGCGCCGCAUUAGCUAGUUGGUAAGGUAACGGCUUACCAAGGCAACGAUGCGUAGCCGACCUGAGAGGGUGAUCGGCCACACUGGAACUGAGACACGGUCCAGACUCCUACGGGAGGCAGCAGUAGGGAAUCUUCCGCAAUGGGCGAAAGCCUGACGGAGCAACGCCGCGUGAGUGAUGAAGGUCUUCGGAUCGUAAAACUCUGUUAUUAGGGAAGAACAAAUGUGUAAGUAACUAUGCACGUCUUGACGGUACCUAAUCAGAAAGCCACGGCUAGCUACGUG
rnacentral:rRNA from 1 species